AUGCAUAGGAUAAUUCCUCUGCAAAUCCUUGAAUCUUUUCCACGCUUCAUACAAGCUUUCAUCCUCUAUUUGCUUGAAUGAAGUUAAAUCAUUUCAAAGUUU